rnacentral:rRNA from 1 species
GACAAACCAGAAAAGAAAUGGGAAAUAACAACUUUGAGCGGUGGAUCACUCGGCUCGUGCGUCGAUGAAGAGCGCAGCCAG